AGAGUUUGAUCAUGGCUCAGGACGAACGCUGGCGGCGUGCUUAACACAUGCAAGUCCAACGAGAAAAGGGUAGCAAUAUCCUGAGUAAAGUGGCGCACGGGUGAGUAACACGUAGGCAAUCUGCCUUUAGGACGGGAACAACCCCGAGAAAUCGAGGCUAAUACCCGAUAAUGCAGCGGCACCGCAUGGUGACAGUUGUUAAAUCCCGCAAGGGGCCUAUUGAUGAGCCUGCGUCUGAUUAGCUAGUUGGUGAGGUAACGGCCCACCAAGGCAACGAUCAGUAGCUGGUCUGAGAGGAUGAUCAGCCACACUGGAACUGAGACACGGUCCAGACUCCUACGGGAGGCAGCAGUGAGGAAUAUUGCGUAAUGGCCGAAAGGCUGACGCAGCGACGCCGCGUGAAGGAUGAAGUUCGUUAGAAUGUAAACUUCUUUUGUAGGGGAUGAAUGUGCCGUUUUACGGCAUUGACCGUACCCUGCGAAUAAGGAUCGGCUAACUACGUGCCAGCAGCCGCGGUAAUACGUAGGAUCCGAGCGUUGUCCGGAAUUACUGGGUGUAAAGGGCGUGUAGGUGGGUCUCUAAGUCGAUGGUGAAAUCCUGCAGCUUAACUGUAGAAUUGCCGUCGAUACUGGAGGUCUUGAGUACGGCAGAGGGAAAUGGAAUUCAUGGUGUAGCGGUGAAAUGUGUAGAUAUCAUGAAGAACACCGGUAGCGAAGGC
rnacentral:rRNA from 1 species